AGAGUUUGAUCAUGGCUCAGGACGAACGCUGGCGGCGUGCUUAACACAUGCAAGUCGAACGAGGUGCUUGCACCUAGUGGCGAACGGGUGAGUAACACGUGAGCAACCUGCCCCUGGCUCUGGGAUAGCCUCCGGAAACGGGGAUUAAUACCGGACAUGACUCCUGCUCGCAUGAGCGGGGGUGGAAAGUUUUUCGGCCG
rnacentral:rRNA from 1 species